GCGCCCUUUGUCUCUCUCUUCAGUGUUUCUCUCUCUUUCUCCCACUGCCUGUCCCUCUCCGCUGCUCCUCUCCCCUCCCGCUCUCACUGCCGCUCCACCAGCCGCGUCUCCUCCGCUCCCCCUCGCGGUCGCGGGCAACCGGAGCACUAAUCAGGUCCUCCAUUCUUUCUUCCUAUCCAAUCCGUAAUUGCUUUUGUGUGGGCUGUUGUGGAUGUGUACGAAGAGUAUUUGUUCUAUAUAUGGAAGACAUUUAUUUUGGAACAAUUCUCUGUUUUGAAAAAAAAUCUAUUGUUUUUGUAUGUAAUAUUUAAUUUAGAUGGAUUAUACUUGUUUUGUAUGGAUUUAUAUGAUAUUUGGAAUAUGAUAUUACAAGUUAAAGUUUUUGAAUA